UGGGGAAUAUUGGACAAUGGGGGCAACCCUGAUCCAGCAAUACCGCGUGUGUGAAGAAGGCCUUCGGGUUGUAAAGCACUUUAGUUGGGGAAGAAGUUAUGGAGUUUAAGAGACACUAUAAUUGACGGUACCCAAAGAAUAAGCACCGGCUAACUCUGUGCCAGCAGCCGCGGUAAUACAGAGGGUGCAAGCGUUAAUCGGAGUUACUGGGCGUAAAGGGCGCGUAGGUGGUUAUAUAAGUUGGAUGUGAAAUCCCUGGGCUUAACCUAGGAACUGCAUUCAAGACUGUAUGACUGGAGUAUUGUAGAGGGUAGUGGAAUUUCCGGUGUAGCGGUGAAAUGCGUAGAGAUCGGAAGGAACACCAGUGGCGAAGGCGGCUACCUGGACAAAUACUGACACUGAGGCGCGAGAGCGUGGGGAGCAAACAGGAUUAGAUACCCCCGUAGUCC
rnacentral:rRNA from 1 species